CCGCAUGCCUCUUCUCCUCUCUCUUUAAACCUCACGGGCGGCGCAUUUCUCAAAGCAAAUAGCAACCACUCACCGGCCACCGUAAACCUAUUGGCUCUCUCAUGCCCCGACCAGCACCAACUCUGACUGAGAAACUCGAAAUGCCCAACGGUGGCCUACUUCGCUUCGAUUAGCCACCCUAAACUGACCGAGAUGUCGAACCAGCCCUAACCAAAGCCAAACCGAGACCCCGAUUAGCCCUCCCUCUCUUCUAUCUCACUCAACCGAGUACCAAAUCACACCAAAAUGGGUCACUCAAAACCCCUUACACGUUGGUCGUUCCUGACCAAAAAUCAACUCCACUCUCCCUUAUGCACAUCUAUGGUGCCGUAACGAACCUAAGAACAGACCUUAGAGGUGAACCACUCUCCUUUCGUUUUUUAGUUUUGUUUUCUAAUUUCUCUUUAUUCUGUUUAUUUUAGGAACCUAAGCCCGAUUGUUUACCUUCCAUACUUCAACAAAGACACCACUCCCACCUCGACGAUGGAACCCGAACGGUAACGAAAUAGAGUCAACGAGACUCCACUGGAAUUCACACAACUCAUAUUUGUCAACGGUGGCGAGAAUGGCUCGGCAGUGACUUGGCUUGAGCUAGUGUCGAUCGGGUUGGGCUCCAGUUGUAGUUGAAUUUCAGGUUGGGCUGGCACCAAGUCAGUUCCGGGUCUCGGGUCUAGAUCUGGUUUUGUAAUUGGGUCCCUUGAUGGGCUGCUGAGUUGCUUUUGUUGUAGUGGGCAUGAGCUUCAGGCCUACAAAAUGUAAUUUGUAUUAAUAAUAAUAAUAAUAACAAUAAUAAUAAUAUAAUUAAUAUUUAUAAUA